AGUAAAACACAAAAAAAUUAAAUUUUAAAAAUUCUAAAUUUUGAGAAAUAUUUAUUUCGGUUUUUUUUCAAUUAGGUUUAAGCAUAAAGUGAUUCUUUUUUUUUAUACAAAAAGCAAAAAGUAAACUAAAAAAAAAAAAAAAAAAAAAAACAACAAAAUUUGGAUCAUUUGAAACAUUUUAGUUGAUUUUGCCAUCUCUACGUAGAUCAGAACGGAGCUCAGGGUCGGCGACUGCGGGCGUACACAGAGGUAUACAUUUGCUUUCGGUUUGCGGUACAUCGAACACAGUGCGGCUGAUAUCACCACAUGUUACACGCCUCGACAAUCGUCUGGGCAGUACACUACGUUUCCCGGGGAGUGACAUGGAUGCCACAAGAUAUGAAAAGACAUAGUUGCACAUUUUUGGUCGAUGAAUGAAGAAGCCGUUUCUUGGGUUCAGGAUCAGGAGCAGGAACCGGAGCCGGAACUCCCCAUUUGGUCAAUUGGCAAUUAUCUCGAUGAAUUAGCAGCCGGACAAUGGCACAGCAGAGGCGCGUCGCAUCCAUCCCAGGACACUGAACGAGUGUUGGACAUUAUACAGCGAAUUCUUUGCGAAAAGAAACCUGCGCCAUGCCCCAACAUGAUUCGUAUGAUAAGCACUUGUACCUGGUUGCAUAUAAUUCUCCCUGAAAUAACCACACACCUCUAUGUUUCAUUUUGUAUAAAAAUAUAUAAUUCUCAAGUUUAUCAAAAUAUAUUAACUUCAUUGUC